UUAUUAUUGGUAGUUUUCUUUCUCCCUGUCCGUCUACUCCUCAGUUUUGUCCGCCGCCUCAAAAACAAAAACCACCACAGAUCGAUCAACUGAUUAAGAAGAUCAUCGGAACAACAACAUUGAGAAGAUCGCAGCAUAAUUAUAUCUCUUCUCAAACUGGAAGGAUGAGGCUGGGUGGAUCUCCAAUACUUAGGGCACGGCAACAUGAAUUUUGAGUUGAAUGAAAGGAUGGCUGAAGCGUAAAAUAUUUUAAUUUUUCUUUGAAUGCUUUUUAAGAGAUUCAAUUAAGAAUUGAGAUAGAUUAGCUUGACAGGAGCCUCAAACUUGGUGUUGGCGUGUAUGUGGGGAUCUUAGUCCAGGCAAUGCAGCCUUUGUCAAGCUGGAUUUCGAAGGACAAACUUUCUGUACUAGAGAAGAGGUAGAUGUUAAACCUCUCUGGCACCAAACCUUCAUCUUCAACAUCAGUUCGUACCUUAGACUUCCGGACCCCUUUUAUAGCUCGAAAUAAUCCUUCAAGAGCUGCUUCUAACAUUCACUUUUAGCUCCAUUCUGGCACUUCGAGACAUUAUGGUAACAAUAGUUUUACUCCGCAUUUUAAUAUAUGUAUUU